AUAGACGAUGCCGCAGCAGCCCAGCCUCCAGCGUCUGGGGGGCUGUCCCUAGGUAGGGGUAGAGCUAGUGGCUGAAGGGGAGGAGGAGGACUCUGAAAGAGGCCUCCUGUGGAGCAGGACAAAAGCCCUCACCAGAAGCCGAGUGGAUGCCACUGCCACUUGAACUUCCCAGUCUGCAGAACUGUGAGCUACACCUUUUUAUAAAUGACCCAUCUCAAGUAUUCUGUUACAACACCACCAAAUGGACUAAGACAAGUAUUUAUCCAAAGGAAAUAAAAAUGCUACGACACAAAGAGGAGCUGCUAACACCAGAUGACCAACUCCUUUCCAGUUACGGACCAUCCCGGUGAUGAGACCUCCAUAUGUUGUCUGAUGGCCGCAGUUCCUUGGGAAGCGUGGCCUGUCAGCCCAGCAUCAGAUGGUUCCAUGCCAACCUCCUCCAUGGCUAGGUGUUGGAGCGCCCCAGCUGCUGCCUCCCUGGUAGCUUUCAUUAAAGGACUUUGCUUUUUUGGUGUCUACAUCUCUUAGGAAGAAGAGAAUAAUGAGAUGAUGUAUGCAGAGCACUGGCAGAAAGCCUAGCAUAGAGGAAUCUGAGGAUUCGCCAUGCAUGCUUCCUGGUAUAUAGUACUAGUUCUUGUCAAUGGCACAGAGACUUGAAGACAAUGGAAACCCACACUGCUGUUGUGAAGACACCUGAUGAAACUCCAGCAACUUCUACAUCUGGCCUGCUGCUUAGUCCUGGGACCUGAGGUCAAAAUCUUAGAAAAGAGCCAUGUGAGAUGCAUUCCCUGGCCUCAUCUCUGUU
rnacentral:lncRNA from 1 species